UAGGGAAUCUUCGGCAAUGGACGAAAGUCUGACCGAGCAACGCCGCGUGAGUGAAGAAGGUUUUCGGAUCGUAAAACUCUGUUGUUAGAGUAGAACAAGGACGUUAGUAACUGAACGUCCCCUGACGGUAUCUAACCAGAAAGCCACGGCUAACUACGUGCCAGCAGCCGCGGUAAUACGUAGGUGGCAAGCGUUGUCCGGAUUUAUUGGGCGUAAAGCGAGCGCAGGCGGUUUCUUAAGUCUGAUGUGAAAGCCCCCGGCUCAACCGGGGAGGGUCAUUGGAAACUGGGAGACUUGAGUGCAGAAGAGGUGAGUGGAAUUCCAUGUGUAGCGGUGAAAUGCGUAGAUAUAUGGAGGAACACCAGUGGCGAAGGCGGCUCUCUGGUCUGUAACUGACGCUGAGGCUCGAAAGCGUGGGGAGCAAACAGG
rnacentral:rRNA from 1 species